UACGAAGGGGGGCUAGCGUUGUUCGGAAUUACUGGGCGUAAAGGGUUUGUAGGUGGCCGAUUAAGUCAGACGUGAAAAUCCCCUCAGCUUAACUGGGGAACUGCGUCUGAUACUGGUUGGCUUGAGUGCAGGAGAGGAAUGCGGAAUUCCAGGUGUAGCGGUGAAAUGCGUAGAUAUUGGGAGGAACACCAGUGGCGAAGGCGGCUCACUGGACCGGGAACUGACGCUGAGGCGCGAAAAGCGUGGGG
rnacentral:rRNA from 1 species